UUUGGUAAAGCUACUAAGGGUGUACGGGGGAUGCCUAGGCACAUGGAGACGAUGAAGGACGUGAUAAGCUGCGAUAAGCCUCGGGUAGGUGCAAAUAACCUUAAAUCCGGGGAUUUCCGAAUGGGG
rnacentral:rRNA from 1 species